rnacentral:lncRNA from 1 species
AGGCCUUAGCCCCUUUUAGCAAUUCUAUGGAUGCCCUUUCUUAACCACCCAAAGCUUUCCAAUCACUCCUCCUCCCCUUGUGUCCUACCUGUCCUAUCUCACACUUCUACACAAACUCCUAAGGGAACAUGCAGACCAGUGUCUUCCUGCACCAUUCAUUGCCUCAAUCCCAGCACAACCACAAACUGAAUUGGACCCUCUUCAACUGGGUGACUCAGUCUUACUUCAGGAACUGCAUUCUCAAUCGUUGGAACCUCCCUGGACGGGACCCCAUACACUCAUACUUACUAC